CCCUACGGGGCGCGAAUUUCUCCCCAUUUCUGUCACAACUCCACACAUCGUGCGUAAUUUAGUGUCAUUAUAUAUCACUGUAAGCCACAAAUUAUAUCGAAUUUCUGUCAUAAGAGUCACAUGUGCAUUUUAUUUUAUUAAAAAAUAUCGCACAUACUUUCUCACGCUGUUCCAAUUUCUGUCCGCAAGACCACCGCCGCCGCAACGGUCUCUGCCCUCGUCUUUCUCUGCGAAAAAUCCUGCUUGCCCGUAGUGCGAUACUCUUUUCGUUUUCGCACAGGUCCGCGGCAGUUCACAUCAGUACGCUGCUUGCACUCAAUUUCUUUCAAAAUAAUUCAAUUCUUACUGAAGUCGAUGUCCUCUAUUUGACGAUUCAAAACAGUGGUUCGCGGAGUGUUCUUUCGUCUGGUGCGAAGAAUGGCUGCCGCGUCAGGAAUUGGCGGGAGAGC
rnacentral:rRNA from 1 species